rnacentral:lncRNA from 1 species
AGUAGAUAGCCGAGCUGCGAGUAGGCUAUGCCCUUGUGUGGCAGUGAAUAAUAAUUGGAAUGUGUGCUAAGUGCGACUGUGAUUUAUAUGAAAGUGAUGACGUUCCAAUUGUUUGAAUUAUUAUUACUACCUGAGAUUGUGUAAUACGAAUUGUGCUAACCUGCAGGGAAGAAUUGAGGCGAGGUAAGUUCUCUGUGUGAUGUGGCUAGGCCACCCUUGGGCGUAUUUUCUUUCUAAUAGGGGUUUAGGGGGU